CCUACGGGUGGCAGCAGUGAGGAAUAUUGGUCAAUGGGCUUACGCCUGAACCAGCCAAGUCGCGUGAGGGAAGACUGCCCUAUGGGUUGUAAACCUCUUUUGUCAGGGAGCAAUUGGCGCUACGUGUAGCGUUAUCGAGAGUACCUGAAGAAAAAGCAUCGGCUAACUCCGUGCCAGCAGCCGCGGUAAUACGGAGGAUGCGAGCGUUAUCCGGAUUUAUUGGGUUUAAAGGGUGCGUAGGCGGACUGCCAAGUCAGCGGUAAAAUCGGGGGGCUAAACCUCGUUGCGCCGUUGAAACUGGCGGUGUUGAGUGGGCGAGAAGUAUGCGGAAGGGGGGGUGU
rnacentral:rRNA from 1 species